rnacentral:rRNA from 1 species
AGCUCCAAGAGCGAAAUUUGAUUCUGCUGAAGUUAAAAAGCUCGUAGUUGAACUUUGGCAAACAUGUGUCUGGAUCGCGAUCGAAAGAUGGCUUCCUUCACAUCUUUGCUUUUGCGUGGGAAUGUUGUCGUCUUCAUUGACGAUUUCAGGAUCGCGCCUUUUACUGUGAGGAAAUCCGAGUGCUCAAAGCAAGCUCAGCUUGAAGAGGUCAGCACGGAAUGAUAAGAUACGACUAUGGUCGCUCUUGUUGGUUUACGAUUGUAGUAAUGAUUGCAGAAAUAGUUGGGGGUAUUUGUAUUGGCGAGCUAGAGGUGAAAUUCUAGGAUUUCGUCAAGACAAACGACUGCGAAAGCAUUUACCAAGGUGAGUUAAUUGUACUUCGGACUGCUGGGACCUCGAG